ACGCUGGCGGCAUGCCUUACACAUGCAAGUCGAAACGGGCAGCACGGGAGCAAUCCUGGUGCGAGUGGCGAACGGGUGAGUAAUAUAUCGGAACGUGCCCAGUCGUGGGGAUAACGUAGCGAAAGCUACGCUAAUACCGCAUACGAUCUAUGGAUGAAAGCGGGGGAUCGCAAGACCUCGCGCGAUUGGAGCGGCCGAUAUCAGAUUAGGUAGUUGGUGAGGUAAAGGCUCACCAAGCCGACGAUCUGUAGCUGGUCUGAGAGGACGACCAGCCACACUGGGACUGAGACACGGCCCAGACUCCUACGGGAGGCAGCAGUGGGGAAUUUUGGACAAUGGGCGCAAGCCUGAUCCAGCAAUGCCGCGUGCAGGAUGAAGGCCUUCGGGUUGUAAACUGCUUUGUACGGAACGAAACGGUGAGCUCUAAUACAGUUUGCUAAUGACGGUACCGUAAGAAUAAGCACCGGCUAACUACGUG
rnacentral:rRNA from 1 species